ACAAAUGCAAACAAUGUAUUAUUUAAGUACUGUAUGCAUUUUUUUAUUCAUGUAUCAAUUGAUAAAGUAUUAUAUCAAUGUAUAUGGAGUUGUUACUGAGAAGCCAAGUGAAUAUCAAGGUAUGUUUUUUCUUUUUUUAUUUCUCAAUUUUUUAUUUUUCUGAGUGAAAUAUGAGUGAGUUUUGAUUUUUGUAUUUGUAUCUUAUAUUG
rnacentral:lncRNA from 1 species